GAUGAACGCUAGCGGCAGGCUUAAUACAUGCAAGUCGAGGGGCAGCACGGGUAGCAAUACUGGGUGGCGACCGGCAAACGGGUGCGGAACACGUACACAACCUUCCUUUUGGUGGGGGAUAGCCUUUGGAAACGGAGAUUAAUACCCCAUAAUACAGGGGGCCCGCAUGGGUCUAUUGUUAAAGAUUUAUUGCCAGAAGAUGGGUGUGCGUCUGAUUAGGUAGUUGGCGGGGUAAAGGCCCACCAAGCCGACGAUCAGUAACUGGUGUGAGAGAACGACCAGUCACACGGGAACUGAGACACGGGCCCGACUCCUACGGGAGGCAGCAGUAAGGAAUAUUGGUCAAUGGGCGGAAGCCUGAACCAGCCCUGCCGCGUGGAGGAUGAAGGUCCUCUGGAUUGUAAACUUCUUUUAUCAGGGGCGAAAAAAGGCUUUUCUAAGUCGUCUGACGGUACCUGAUGAAUAAGCACCGGCUAACUCCGUGCCAGCAGCCGCCGUAAGAC
rnacentral:rRNA from 1 species